GCCUCGGUAGCUCAGUUGGUAGAGCGUUACCUUGGUAAGGUAAAGGCCGCGAGUUCAACUCUCGCCCGGGGCU
rnacentral:tRNA from 1 species